GCCUGGGUGGCUCAGUCGGUUGGGUGUCUGACUUCAGCUCAGGUCCUGAUCUCACAGUUUGUGGGUUCAAACCCCGCGUGGGGCU
rnacentral:tRNA from 1 species